rnacentral:rRNA from 1 species
CGGUGUUUAACUGGCGUGAUGUGGGACGUCCUACCGGUGGGCUUAGCCUCGCGAGGGGCGGCCCAACUAAUAUCCCGUCGCGGUGCUCUUUACUGAGUGUCGAGUCGGGCCGGUACGUUUACUUUGAACAAAUUAGAGUGCUUAAAGCAGGCUAUCCUCGCCUGAAUACUGCGUGCAUGGAAUAAUGGAAUAGGACCUCGGUUCUAUUUUGUUGGUUUUCGGAACCCCGAGGUAAUGAUUAAUAGGGACAGAUGGGGGCAUUCGUAUUGCGACGUUAGAGGUGAAAUUCUUGGAUCGUCGCAAGACGGACAGAAGCGAAAGCAUUUGCCAAAAAUGUUUUCAUUAAUCAAGAACGAAAGUUAGAGGUUCGAAGGCGAUCAGAUACCGCCCUAGUUCUAACCAUAAACGAUGCCAGCUAGCGAUCCGCCGAAGUUCCUCCGAUGACUCGGCGGGCAGCUUCCGGGAAACCAAAGCUUUUGGGUUCCGGGGGAAGUAUGGUUGCAAAGCUGAAACUUAAAGGAAUUGACGGAAGGGCACCACCAGGAGUGGAGCCUGCGGCUUAAUUUGACUCAACACGGGAAACCUCACCAGGCCCAGACACCGGAAGGAUUGACAGAUUGAUAGCUCUUUCUUGAUUCGGUGGGUGGUGGUGCAUGGGCCGUUCUUAGUUGGUGGAGCGAUUUGUCUGGUUAAUUCCGAUAACGAACGAGACUCUAGCCUGCUAAAUAGGCGUACCUUAUGGUAUCGCGAAGGCCCCCGGCUUCGGCCGGUGGGUUUUUACUACCAACGUACAAACAAAUCUUCUUAGAGGGCACAGCGCGG